rnacentral:rRNA from 1 species
UAACACAUGCAAGUCGAGCGAAGGAUCUGGAGUAGCUUGCUACGAGGAACUAGCGGCGGACGGGUGAGUAACGCGUGAGCAAUCUGCCUGGUACAGGGGGAUAACAGUCGGAAACGGCUGCUAAUACCGCAUAAGACCACGGCGCCACAUGGUGCAGAGGUCAAAGGAGGAAUCCGGUAUCAGAUGAGCUCGCGUCCCAUUAGCUAGUUGGUGGAGUAACGGUUCACCAAGGCAACGAUGGGUAGCCGACCUGAGAGGGUGAUCGGCCACACUGGGGACUGAGACACGGCCCAGACUCCUACGGGAGGCAGCAGUGGGGAAUAUUGCGCAAUGGGGGGAACCCUUGACGCAGCAACGCCGCGUGAGUGAAGAAGGCCUUCGGGGUCGUAAAACUCUGUCAUUGGGGAAGAAACAAAUGACGGUACCCGAUGAGGAAGCCCCGGCUAACUACGUGCCAGCAGCUGC